rnacentral:pre_miRNA from 1 species
UAUUAUGGAUAAGAAAAGAAAGUGGUUUCUUGAGAUGGAAACUAUUCUUCUUGAAGAUGCUGUGAA